AACGAACGCUGGCGGCAGGCUUAACACAUGCAAGUCGAACGGGCGUAGCAAUACGUCAGUGGCAGACGGGUGAGUAACACGUGGGAACCUUCCUCGUUGUACGGAACAACUCAGGGAAACUUGAGCUAAUACCGUAUACGUCCGAGAGGAGAAAGAUUUAUCGCAAUGAGACGGGCCCGCGUCGGAUUAGGUAGUUGGUGGGGUAACGGCCUACCAAGCCGACGAUCCGUAGCUGAUCUGAGAGGAUGAUCAGCCACACUGGGACUGAGACACGGCCCAGACUCCUACGGGAGGCAGCAGUGGGGAAUCUUGGACAAUGGGCGCAAGCCUGAUCCAGCCAUGCUGCGUGAGUGAAGAAGGCCUUAGGGUUGUAAAGCUCUUUUACCAGGGACGAUAAUGACGGUACCUGGAGAAUAAGCCCCGGCAAACUUCGUGCCAGCCGCCGCAGUAAGAC
rnacentral:rRNA from 1 species